UACGGGGGGGGUAAGCGUUGUUCGGAAUUACUGGGCGUAAAGGGCGCGUAGGCGGCUUGGCAAGUGGAUGGUGAAAUCCCUCGGCUUAACCGAGGAACUGCCGUCCAAACUGCUUUGCUUGAGACCGGGAGAGGUGAGUGGAAUUCCCAGUGUAGCGGUGAAAUGCGUAGAUAUCGGGAGGAACACCUGUGGCGAAAGCGGCUCACUGGACCACAACUGACGCUGAUGCGCGAAAGCUAGGGGAGCAAACAGG
rnacentral:rRNA from 1 species